rnacentral:rRNA from 1 species
UAGAGUUUGAUCAUGGCUCAGGACGAACGCUGGCGGCGUGCCUAACACAUGCAAGUCGAGCGAGUGGAGUUCUUCGGAACAAAGCUAGCGGCGGACGGGUGAGUAACACGUGGGCAACCUGCCUCAUAGAGGGGAAUAGCCUCCCGAAAGGGAGAUUAAUACUGCGUAAGAUUGUAGCUUCGCAUGAAGUAGCAAUUAAAGGAGCAAUCCGCUAUGAGAUGGGCCCGCGGCGCAUUAGCUAGUUGGUGAGGUAACGGCUCACCAAGGCGACGAUGCGUAGCCGACCUGAGAGGGUGAUCGGCCACAUUGGGACUGAGACACGGCCCAGACUCCUACGGGAGGCAGCAGUGGGGAAUAUUGCACAAUGGGGGAAACCCUGAUGCAGCAACGCCGCGUGAGUGAUGACGGCCUUCGGGUUGUAAAGCUCUGUCUUCAGGGACGAUAAUGACGGUACCUGAGGAGGAAGCCACGGCUAACUACGUGCCAGCAGCCGCGGUAAUACGUAGGUGGCGAGCGUUGUCCGGAUUUACUGGGCGUAAAGGGAGCGUAGGCGGACUUUUAAGUGAGAUGUGAAAUACCCGGGCUCAACUUGGGUGCUGCAUUUCAAACUGGAAGUCUAGAGUGCAGGAGAGGAGAAUGGAAUUCCUAGUGUAGCGGUGAAAUGCGUAGAGAUUAGGAAGAACACCAGUGGCGAAGGCGAUUCUCUGGACUGUAACUGACGCUGAGGCUCGAAAGCGUGGGGAGCAAACAGGAUUAGAUACCCUGAUAGUCCACGCCGUAAACGAUGAAUACUAGGUGUAGGGGUUGUCAUGACCUCUGUGCCGCCGCUAACGCAUUAAGUAUUCCGCCUGGGGAGUACGGUCGCAAGAUUAAAACUCAAAGGAAUUUGACGGGGGCCCGCACAAGCAGCGGAGCAUGU